GGGUGAGUAAUACGUGAGCAACCUACCUAAUUGAUCGGGAUAACCUGCCGAAAGGUGAGCUAAUACCGGAUAUGAAAUCGUCUGCAUGGAUGAUUUGGAAAGGCUGGGGUAACCUAGCGCGAUUAGAUGGGCUCGCGCCCCAUUAGCUAGUUGGUGAGGGUAACUGCCCACCAAGGCUACGAUGGGUAACCGGCCUGAGAGGGUGGCCGGUCACACUGGAACUGAGACACGGUCCAGACUCCUACGGGAGGCAGCAGUGGGGAAUUUUGCGCAAUGGGCGAAAGCCUGACGCAGCGACGCCGCGUGAAUGAUGAAGGCCUUCGGGUCGUAAAGUUCUUUCAGCAGGGAAGAAAGUGUGUGAUAGUAACUGAUCAUAUUUUGACGUUACCUGCAGAAGCAGCCCCGGCUAACUCCGUGCCAGCAGCCGCGGUAAUACGGAGGGGGCAAGCGUUGUUCGGAGUGACUGGGCGUAAAGCGCACGUAGGUUGUGGGGUAAGUUAUUGGU
rnacentral:rRNA from 1 species